UCUUCUCUCCAUAGCACAAGCUACUUCUUCUCUCCGUGGCUGCUACUUUUGCUUCUUCCGCCACUGCCGCUGCCGCCGUUGCGUCGCACAAUCUCCCUCUGUCAUCCCUUGCGUCGCACAAGAUCCCUCCGCCGCCGCUCUCGUCGCAUCUACUCCCAUCAUCGCAGAGCUCUCUCUACUGCCGCUCUCAUCGCAUCUGCUCCCUCUGGCUCCUCUUCCAUCUAAUCUCAACUUGCUCCCUCAGUUCUUCUCGUAACCAUAUCAAAUUUCAGGUUUACUCUAAUUUUGAUGAAUUAUUUUCUGCAAUCGAAACUUUUUUGACCUAAAAUUCAUGGUAGGCCAUUGCUUUCUAUAGUUUUUAACGUUCAUAGUUUGAUAUUGAUUUUGAUGACAUUGGCUCCUGGUAAACUAAUGUUCAGAGAGCAGCAACUGGAAGGAGAUUAUCGACAGCUUCACUCGCGAUUGAGGACUCACUUGGAAAGUAUAGCAUUUUAUGGUGGAGAGAUGAGAGAAGAAGCCCAUAUUCAAUAGAAGUUUAACACCUUGGUUAGGCAUUUGAGUAGUGUCCUACAUGACCAUUGGUGGUUUGGCAUGAUUCAGGACUUUUUAUUGAAGUACUUUGGUGCUACAGUUGCUGUUAUUCUGAUAAUUGAGCCUUUCUUUUCUGGCCAUCUAAGGUCUGACAGUUCAACUUUAGGGCAUGCAGAGAUGC